rnacentral:tRNA from 1 species
AUUUUAAUAGUUGAAUACAACGGUGGUUUUUCAAGUCGCAGGUUUUGGUGAGAGGCCAAAUUAGAAUA